UACGAAGGGGGCUAGCGUUGUUCGGAAUCACUGGGCGUAAAGCGCACGUAGGCGGAUCUUUAAGUCAGGGGUGAAAUCCCGAGGCUCAACCUCGGAACUGCCUUUGAUACUGGGGAUCUCGAGUCCGGGAGAGGUGAGUGGAACUGCGAGUGUAGAGGUGAAAUUCGUAGAUAUUCGCAAGAACACCAGUGGCGAAGGCGGCUCACUGGCCCGGUACCGACGCUGAGGUGCGAAAGCGUGGGGAGCAAACAGG
rnacentral:rRNA from 1 species